GGUUGUGGCCUUGAGCCGUGGCUUUCGGAGCUAACGCGUUAAGUAGACCGCCUGGGGAGUACGGUCGCAAGAUUAAAACUCAAAUGAAUUGACGGGGGCCCGCACAAGCGGUGGAGCAUGUGGUUUAAUUCGAUGCAACGCGAAGAACCUUACCUACUCUUGACAUCCAGAGAACUUUUCAGAGAUGGAUUGGUGCCUUCGGGAACUCUGAGACAGGUGCUGCAUGGCUGUCGUCAGCUCGUGUUGUGAAAUGUUGGGUUAAGUCCCGCAACGAGCGCAACCCUUAUCCUUGUUUGCCAGCGAGUAAUGUCGGGAACUCCAGGGAGACUGCCGGUGAUAAACCGGAGGAAGGUGGGGACGACGUCAAGUCAUCAUGGCCCUUACGAGUAGGGCUACACACGUGCUACAAUGGCGCAUACAGAGGGCGGCCAACUUGCGAAAGUGAGCGAAUCCCAAAAAGUGCGUCGUAGUCCGGAUUGGAGUCUGCAACUCGACUCCAUGAAGUCGGAAUCGCUAGUAAUCGUGGAUCAGAAUGCCACGGUGAAUACGUUCCCGGGCCUUGUACACACCGCCCGUCACACCAUGGGAGUGGGCUGCAAAAGAAGUAGGUAGUUUAACCUUCGGGGGGACGCUUACCACUUUGUGGUUCAUGACUGGGGUGAAGUCGACAGGGGUAACAA
rnacentral:rRNA from 2 species